AGCUACACUUGGAGCAACCAAAGAUUGCUCAACUCUUGGUUUAUCGAUAAGUGCUGCACAAUCAAAGUAAAACCAACGCCAACAACGCUCGUGUAGAUAUGAGCCAAUCAAACUUUCAAUCUGUAUCAUGAUCAGGCUGUAUUCCUGAGAGAGCAACCGUGCCUGACGUUCAAGUUCUUGUCAGCAUUUGAUGGUGCAGCUGUCGUCUUUCCUUGCUGUUCAGUUAUGGUGCUCAUUCAAGUCAUUGCUACUUCUGGUGGUCUAAGUGUGUCAGAUGACAGAAAUCAGCAGACGUGUGCACCUGCUGGGUUUCCCGGAUUACCUGGAUUGCCAGGAUGAGAUGGAAGAAACGGAGAAAAAGGGGUGAAAGGAGAG